UGGGGAAUUUUGGACAAUGGGCGCAAGCCUGAUCCAGCCAUGCCGCGUGCAGGAUGAAGGCCCUCGGGUUGUAAACUGCUUUUGUACGGAACGAAAAGCCUCUUUCUAAUAAAGAGGGGUGAUGACGGUACCGUAAGAAUAAGCACCGGCUAACUACGUGCCAGCAGCCGCGGUAAUACGUAGGGUGCGAGCGUUAAUCGGAAUUACUGGGCAUAAAGCGUGCGCAGGCGGUCUUGCAAGACAGUGGUGAAAUCCCCGGGCUCAACCUGGGAACUGCCAUUGUGACUGCAAGGCUGGAGUACGGCAGAGGGGGAUGGAAUUCCGCGUGUAGCAGUGAAAUGCGUAGAUAUGCGGAGGAACACCGAUGGCGAAGGCAGUCCCCUGGGCCUGUACUGACGCUCAUGCACGAAAGCGUGGGGAGCAAACA
rnacentral:rRNA from 1 species